CUGGUUGAUCCUGCCGGAGGCUACUGCUAUUGGAAUCCGAUUAAGCCAUGCGAGUCUAAAGGACUUCGAUCCUUGGCGGACGGCUCAGUAACACGUGGAGAACCUGCCCUCAGGAGGGGGAUAACCCCGGGAAACUGGGAAUAAUACCCCAUAGGUCUAGGAUGCUGGAAUGCUUCUAGGCUGAAAGCUCCGGCGCCUGAGGAUGGCUCUGCGGCUUAUCAGGUUGUAGUGAGGGUAACGUCCUCACUAGCCUAUGACGGGUACGGGCCCUGAGAGGGGAAGCCCGGAGAUGGACUCUGAGACACGAGUCCAGGCCCUACGGGGCGCAGCAGGCGCGAAAACUCCGCAAUGCUCGAAAGAGUGACGGGGGGAUUCCAAGUGCCUACGCUCAGCGUAGGCUGUUCAGAUGCCUAAAAAGCAUCUGGAGUAAGGGCUGGGUAAGACGGGUGCCAUCUGCAGUGGUAGCGAAAGAUUUGGCUUGCUACUGCAAGGCAUAAGCCGCCGCGGUAAUACCCGCAGCUCGAGUGGUAGUCGAUUUUAUUGGGCCUAAAGCGUCCGUAUCCGGUCUGGUAAAUGCUUGGGUAAAUCGUCUGGCUUAACCAGACGAAUUCCGGGUAGACUACCAGACUUGGGACCGGUUGAGGAAGAGGGUACUUCAGGGGUAGGAGUGAAAUCCUGUAAUCCUUGAAGGACCACCAGUGGCGAAGGCGCUCUUCUAGGACGGGUCCGACGGUGAGGGACGAAAGCCAGGGGAGCAAACCGGAUUAGAUACCCGGGUAGUCCUGGCCGUAAACGAUGUGGGCUUGGCAUUGGGGGUUCUACGUGAGCGCCCAGUGUCGUAGCGAAGGCGUUAAGCCCACCGCCUGGGAAGUAUGGUCGCAAGGCUGAAACUUAAAGGAAUUGGCGGGGGAGCACAGCAACGGGAGGAGCGUGCGGUUUAAUUGGACUCAACGCCGG
rnacentral:rRNA from 1 species